AUACUUAGCUGGCGCGGGGCGUGUCGUUGAUCACUGAGCAUGAGCCCCCAGGGCGAGGCGCGGGCAUUGCACUGCACGCGCUCGCGUUGACCCCUGCCAUUACCCCAAACUGAAGCAGAUGGGCCAUUUUUUUUUUUUCAAUUGC
rnacentral:snRNA from 1 species